AAGAGAUAGCUUAUUCUGAGCCAGACAUG
rnacentral:piRNA from 1 species